ACAAACUUGGUCAUUUAGAGGAAGUAAAAGUCGUAACAAGGUUUCCGUAGGUGAACCUGCGGAAGGAUCAUUACCGAGUUUUAGGGUCCUGCGUUCUCCCGAGUCAUCGGUGACGCGCCCGAAUCUCCCAACCCUUUGUCUACUUGACCUACGUUGCUUCGGCGGACCGCGUCCUCGCCUUAAAACCGCGAGGACCGCCGGGUGCCCCCUUGGGGCUUCUGGAGAGUCUUGUCCGCCGACGGCCAACCAAAAAUCAAAACUCUUGUACCUAAAACGUGUCGUCUGAACAAAACUUUUUUUGAUUGUAUAAUCUAAAAACAAAACUUUCAACAACGGAUCUCUUGGUUCUGGCAUCGAUGAAGAACGCAGC
rnacentral:misc_RNA from 1 species